CAGGGAUUGCCUUAGUAGCGGCGAGUGAAGCGGCAAUAGCUCAAAUUUGAAAUCUGGCGCCUUCGGUGUCCGAGUUGUAAUUUGAAGAAGGUAUCUUUGGUUUUGGCUCUUGUCUAUGUUCCUUGGAACAGGACGUCACAGAGGGUGAGAAUCCCGUGCGAUGAGAUGCCCAAUUCCAUGUAAAGUUCCUUCGACGAGUCGAGUUGUUUGGGAAUGCAGCUCUAAGUGGGUGGUAAAUUCCAUCUAAAGCUAAAUAUUGGCGAGAGACCGAUAGCGAACAAGUACUGUGAAGGAAAGAUGAAAAGAACUUUGAAAAGAGAGUGAAAAAGUACGUGAAAUUGUUGAAAGGGAAGGGCUUGAGAUUAGACUUGGAAUUUUCCAGUAAUGGAGCUUUCCGGGCCAGCAUCAGUUUGGAUGGCAGGAUAAUUGCGUAGGAAAGUAGCACUACUUCGGUGGUGUAUUAUAGACUGCGUCGAUACUGCCUAUCUAGACUGAGGACCGCGUCUUUGACUAGGAUGCUGGCGUAAUGAUCUUAAGCCGCCC
rnacentral:rRNA from 1 species